rnacentral:lncRNA from 1 species
UACGACGUGCUCGGCGUGAAGAAGGACGCUGACCAGGGUGAGAUCAAGAAGGCGUAUUACGCGGUAUGGCUCGCUACAAUUGGGUCUGGCACUUAUAUUGUAAUCUUUGGCUUGUCUAAGACUGAACUUCUGAAGGCUGCUUGUGGGUAGUAAUUUUACUUGGUAGAUGCUCGAGGCCAAAAACACACACAUUAUGUACUAAAUGUGGUUGCGUAAGCUCAUGCUUAGAAAUCAAAUCUUUUUGCUGCAAACAUUUUACCAUGGUACGAGAAGAAAUCUCUAGUGGAGCAAGCCUUUUUGCUACAAACAUUUUACAUUCCAAUGCUUGGUGGUAGCCACUGUCCAAAAAUAAACGAAUUGUUCAGACUUCGGGCUUAUUAGGGUGUGUGUUCUUCUGAUUUGCGAUUCUGAUAGGACUUCUGCUCGUACUAUUGGUCGAUUCUUUCCAACUGAAUUGAUGAUACAGAGCAUUAAACACUUAGGAAAAGUUCUUGGCUGUGUGCAAAAUUUUCUUUUACAAGAAUUAAUUUUUUCUGUCUCUAAUUGAUGCUGACGACAACAGUUAUGUUCUAUCUCUAAUUUGCUGAUGACAUCUCCAUUCGUUUCAUCCAGUGAGAAAACAUGGCACCAUCCAUGAGUCUUGCAGCGAAAGGUCCGCUCCCCUUUGGAGCGCUCCCCUCAAGCGGCGUCGUGCAGAGGCCGGUGUCAGUGACCGCCUCACUGGAGCACAAGAGUGAUUAUAAGAGGAAGCUCCUGAAGUGGUUGCCUCCCUGGCUUACUGCUGCUGCUGGUUGCUUCGCCGUCCCCUUCCCCUACAGUGCUAUAUUGCAUCACUGAUCUGCACUGUUUGGUGUGUCUCAUUCCUAGUAUUGUUAUGUUCAACCACAUUGCCAGUGUUCAGAAAUAACACCUACUCACUAUGCAAAUGCAUGCAACAUAAUCUGAAAUUCAUUCAGUUUGACUGUGUGUAAACACUAUAGUGUACAACUAUCAACUUGUUUCACUAUUCAGUUUGUCACCAUUCAACUUUCUUAGUGGGGCAUCUUUCUUGUGAGAGUUUACUUGAUAGUACAAUAUGUUAGAAGAAACUACCAUGUCUCCGAAAUGAAUCAUUGAUCGCUCUUUAUACACUUACAACUCGGUUUCUUUCAUAUAAGUUCUGUUGCCUUUCUUUAGGUUGAGCUACUGCCCUGUUAAUUAUUGUAACAAACAUUAUCAUUUGCCAGUUUGCUCUGUGUUGAGAACUGACCAAUAAGUUUUGUUUGCCAAUUAGCUUUCUCUGUGCAUGCUGUUAAUCCCCAUUUUACUAAUUUCUGAAUCAAACAUUAUUAUUUCUGUCCUCAACAAGUCGCGGCGCCAUGUUCUCUUUUUGUUCAGUUAGCUCUGUCAAAUAUAAUCAACUUGCCUCUGUUCCAUUUUGCUAUUUGUACUUAGGUAGAAAAUGCUAAAUUCUGUACAUGUACAUGUAAGUCUGAAGCUAUAUUGGUUGCUUGUUUCUUAAUUUUUUUCUUCUGUAAUGAUGAUCUAAAAUGCCAUGCAGGUCACUAUUGGUGCUGCUGCUGCUGUGGUUGUUGGAGGUGUUGCUGUUGCAUCUGGCGGAGCUGCCGUUGGGGCCCCAAAAGGUAACCUUCAUCAGCCACAACCCCACAACAAUGGCUCAAGGUUUUGUGCCCCAUCACCCCUCUUUCUAAAUUACUGAAAUAAACCAAGAUCUCAUAUAUUUAGGAAUAGAGGUAGUAGUAAGGUUAAAAUAGAACAGCAAGGGAUGUUUCUAAUUUGGUUAUGCUAGAAUAAUGCAUCAACUCGUGGUAUUCUUGGAUGUUACUCUAAGGUGUCAAAAUGAUAGUAAAACCUAGGCUCUUGCAUGGUUCUUGAAUUAAUUUUUCUAUUUUAGUGCUAACAAAUAUUGCCUAUGUUGAGACUCUAAACAUGUGGAUGUUCCUCUCAUUUACAGGAAUUCUACCCGAAGAAAUUCGGAGAAAGCUUGAAGCCCUAGUUAGCGACUUGCUUUAUAUGUUAUUGACUUGUAAUGCUAAAUUUGUUGAGAAUUUUGAUGUACUAUUGCACAUGUUACUCGAAUGCUGGUAGUUAUGUACAUAUACUCACUAUAUCAUCCGUUGUUUACUUGAAAU